AAUAAUCCGCAAUGGAGGGAACUCUGCCGCAGCGACCCCGCGCGAGCGAUGAAGGUCUUCGGACCGGAAAGCUCUGUCCUUGGGGAGGGAGGUCUUCGGACUUGACGGUACCUAAGGAGGCAGCCCGGGCUAACUACGUGCCAGCAGCCGCGGUAAUACGUAGGGGGCAAGCGUUGUCCGGAAUUAUUGGGCGUAAAGGGUGCGUAGGCGGCCUUUUAAGUCAGAUGUGAAAGCCCACGGCUUAACCGUGGGACUGCAUUUGAAACUGGAGGGCUUGAGUAUCGGAGAGGGUAGUGGAAUUCCCAGUGUAGCGGUGGAAUGCGUAGAUAUUGGGAGGAACACCAGUGGCGAAGGCGACUACCUGGACGAAAACUGACGCUGAGGCACGAAAGCUAGGGGAGCAAACA
rnacentral:rRNA from 1 species